rnacentral:lncRNA from 1 species
AGAACCCCCACACCAGACCACAAACCCUAACCGCCAGCCGCUCGCCGGAGAAGACGAACCAGAGGCCGACCGCCGCCACCCGCCGCCACUCGCCGCCGCACCGGGGAAAUUUCCGACCGCCGAUCGAGGUAAAUUUCAUACCCCCGACUCGUUUUUCCCCGCUGAUUCCUCCUAUGGCCAAAUCGAAGCCGAAAUCCCGGCCAAACGGCCGGAAUACGCGGCCGAAGCCCAGCGGCG